rnacentral:rRNA from 1 species
AUGGCCCGCACCAAGCAGACGGCGAGGAAGUCCACCGGCGGCAAGGCGCCGAGGAAGCAGCUGGCGACCAAGGCCGCCCGCAAGUCCGCCCCGGCCACCGGCGGCGUGAAGAAGCCCCACCGCUUCCGCCCCGGCACCCGGCUGGUGAGGGAGAUCGCGCAGGACUUCAAGACCGACCUCCGCUUCCAGUCCUCCGCCGUCUCCGCCCUGCAGGAGGCCGCCGAGGCCUACCUCGUGGGCCUCUUCGAGGACACCAACCUCUGCGCCAUCCACGCCAAGCGCGUCACCAUCAUGCCCAAGGACAUCCAGCUCGCCCGCCGCAUCCGUGGCGAGAGGGCAUAG